UACGGGGGGGGCAAGCGUUGUUCGGAAUUACUGGUCGUAAAGGGCGCGUAGGCGGUUGGAUAAGUCAGCUGUGAAAACCACGGGCUUAACUCGUGGCCUGCAGUUGAGACUGUCUGGCUUGAGUGUGGGAGAGGAGAGUGGAAUUCCUGGUGUAGCGGUGAAAUGCGUAGAUAUCAGGAGGAACACCGGUGGCGAAGGCGGCUCUCUGGACCACAACUGACGCUGAGGCGCGAAAGCUAGGGGAGCAAACAGG
rnacentral:rRNA from 1 species